CCUGCAGCACGUACUUCUUGUCUUCGGGGAAGGAUCUUGCUUGUCCCAGUACAUUGGAACCCGUCUGUGGGACUGAUGGUGUGACUUACCCCAACGAGUGCUUACUCUGUAGAGAAAUCUGGCGUCGCAAAAAGGUUGACAAAAAGCAUGAUGGAAAAUGCAUUCAGGCCUCCUGCAGCACGUACUUCUUGUCUUCGGGGAAAGAUCUUGCUUGUCCCAGUACAUUGGAACCCGUCUGUGGGACUGAUGGUGUGACUUACCCCAACGAGUGCUUACUCUGUAGAGAAAUCUGGCGUCGCAAAGCAGUUGACAAAAAGCAUGAUGGAAAAUGCAUUCAGGCCUCCUGCAGCACGUACUUCUUGUCUUCGGGGAAAGAUCUUGCUUGUCCCAGUACAUUGGAACCCGUCUGUGGGACUGAUGGUGUGACUUACCCCAACGAGUGCUUACUCUGUAGAGAAAUCUGGCGUCGCAAAGCAGUUGACAAAAAGCAUGAUGGAAAAUGCAUUCAGGUAUAGUCCAAGAUCCGUUCCACUCCUUCUUG